UGAGUAACACGUGAGCAACCUGCCCUGGACUCUGGGAUAAGCGCUGGAAACGGCGUCUAAUACUGGAUAUGAGACGUGAUCGCAUGGUCGUGUUUGGAAAGAUUUUUCGGUCUGGGAUGGGCUCGCGGCCUAUCAGCUUGUUGGUGAGGUAAUGGCUCACCAAGGCGUCGACGGGUAGCCGGCCUGAGAGGGUGACCGGCCACACUGGGACUGAGACACGGCCCAGACUCCUACGGGAGGCAGCAGUGGGGAAUAUUGCACAAUGGGCGGAAGCCUGAUGCAGCAACGCCGCGUGAGGGAUGACGGCCUUCGGGUUGUAAACCUCUUUUAGCAGGGAAGAAGCGAAAGUGACGGUACCUGCAGAAAAAGCGCCGGCUAACUACGUGCCAGCAGCCGCGGUAAUACGUAGGGCGCAAGCGUUAUCCGGAAUUAUUGGGCGUAAAGAGCUCGUAGGCGGUUUGUCGCGUCUGCUGUGAAAUCCCGAGGCUCAACCUCGGGUCUGCAGUGGGUACGGGCAGACUAGAGUGCGGUAGGGGAGAUUGGAAUUCCUGGUGUAGCGGUGGAAUGCGCAGAUAUCAGGAGGAACACCGAUGGCGAAGGCAGAUCUCUGGGCCGUAACUGACGCUGAGGAGCGAAAGGGUGGGGAGCAAACAGGCUUAGAUACCCUGGUAGUCCACCCCGUAAACGUUGGGAACUAGUU
rnacentral:rRNA from 1 species